rnacentral:rRNA from 1 species
GACGAACGCUGGCGGCGUGCCUAAUACAUGCAAGUAGAACGCACAGUUUAUACCGUAGCUUGCUACACCAUAGACUGUGAGUUGCGAACGGGUGAGUAACGCGUAGGUAACCUGCCUGGUAGCGGGGGAUAACUAUUGGAAACGAUAGCUAAUACCGCAUAAUAUUAAUUAUUGUAUGAUAAUUAAUUGAAAGGUGCAAUUGCACCACUACCAGAUGGACCUGCGUUGUAUUAGCUAGUAGGUGAGGUAACGGCUCACCUAGGCGACGAUACAUAGCCGACCUGAGAGGGUGAUCGGCCACACUGGGACUGAGACACGGCCCAGACUCCUACGGGAGGCAGCAGUAGGGAAUCUUCGGCAAUGGACGAAAGUCUGACCGAGCAACGCCGCGUGAGUGAAGAAGGUUUUCGGAUCGUAAAGCUCUGUUGUAAGAGAAGAACGGGUGUGAGAGUGGAAAGUUCACACUGUGACGGUAUCUUACCAGAAAGGGACGGCUAACUACGUG